AACGAACGCUGGCGGCAUGCCUAAUACAUGCAAGUCGAACGAGAUCUUCGGAUCUAGUGGCGCACGGGUGCGUAACGCGUGGGAAUCUGCCCUUGGGUUCGGAAUAACUUCUGGAAACGGAAGCUAAUACCGGAUGAUGACGUAAGUCCAAAGAUUUAUCGCCCAAGGAUGAGCCCGCGUAGGAUUAGCUAGUUGGUGGGGUAAAGGCCCACCAAGGCGACGAUCCUUAGCUGGUCUGAGAGGAUGAUCAGCCACACUGGGACUGAGACACGGCCCAGACUCCUACGGGAGGCAGCAGUAGGGAAUAUUGGACAAUGGGCGAAAGCCUGAUCCAGCAAUGCCGCGUGAGUGAUGAAGGCCUUAGGGUUGUAAAGCUCUUUUACCCGGGAUGAUAAUGACAGUACCGGGAGAAUAAGCGCCGGCUAACUCCGUG
rnacentral:rRNA from 1 species